UUUUUGAACUGAAGGCGCCCGAGAUUACUAGACCCUUCUUCUCAAAAUAUCCAAAACCAAACGCAAACGUCCUCUUAUCUGGGUCCUGACAGUAGAGUGGCAACCACCCUCAUUUCAGCCCAACUCCGACGGCAAUGUCUACAGCAGCAAGCCUUUCCCCCACCGCUCUAACCCUCUCCUCUUCCCUCCUCAUCUAUUCCGCCAAACGCUUUACGUUCCAUCUCCCCAAAACUUCUCCCCCCCUUCUCAUCAGACGCUCCAGAACUCUCCACGUGGCGAUGGCCGCAGCCUCCGACCCUCUCGAGAUCUGUGUCAAAGCAUCCACCACCACUCCCAACAAGAUCGGCGACUGCCCCUUCACGCAACGGGUUUUGUUGACUCUUGAAGAAAAGCAUCUACCUUAUAAUAUGAAGCUGGUAGAUCUGGCCAACAAACCAGAAUGGUUCUUAAAAAUUACUCCUGAAGGAAAAGUUCCUGUAAUCAAAAUUGAUGAGAAGUGGAUAGCAGAUUCCGAUGUUAUUACCCAGGCACUGGAAGAGAAGUAUCCUGAACCACCUUUGGCAGUUCCACCUGAGAAGGCAUCUAUUGGGUCAAAGAUAUUCCCCACUUUCAUUGGUUUUCUUCAAUGCAAAGACCCAAAUGAUGGAACAGAGCAGGCUUUGUUGACCGAGCUGACAUCCUUCAAUGAUUAUAUUAAAGGAAAUGGCCCAUUUAUUAAUGGUAAAGAUAUUUGUGCUGUAGACUUAUCUCUUGGACCUAAGCUUUACCACUUAGAGAUUGCUUUGGGUCACUACAAGAAAUGGUCAAUUCCAGAAUCAUUGCCAUAUGUGAGGUCUUAUAUGAAGGUAAGACAAUUUUCUCGAUGGAUUCAUUCAUUAAAACAAGAGCGCUGCCUGAAGAUGUCAUUGCUGGGUGGCGUCCAAAAGUUAUGGGUUAAAACUCGGUUGAAUUUCAGCUAAUCUCCCAAGCAAGAGCAGGUUACCUGUCUUCCUGGCCAAAUGGUUACAUGGAUGAGAGUGACUUAGGCCACACUAAUUUUCUACUUGGGUCUCGGGUUUCAACCUAUUUCCUAAAUCUCACAUACCACUAUAGCUGGAGACUUUACCAAGAUAAUUCAUUGAAGAGGAUUGUUCAUGAGGUGUACUAUCACUUAUUCCUCCAUUGUUCGGGGAAAGGCACCUUCAGUAAUGAGAAGGGAUUCUGGUUGGAAAGCUAAGCUUCUUUUGGUGGGAGGUAAGCUUAUUCUUCUUAAGCACAUACUGGACAACAUCGUGUUUAUCUUCUCUCUGCGUCAUCUCCUCCAAAGUUUGUGUUGAUCCGGGUUGCAAAGAUAUUUGCUGAGUUUUAUGGGGAGGGAAAAUUUGACCUCAAGAAUCAUCGUGUCGAGUGGAAUAAGAUUGCUUACCUGUCUGGGAAGGUAGUUUGGGUGUUAAAAGUAUUGGGGAUAUUGAAAAGGCCUCCAGAAUGAAAAGGCUGUGGGGAAUGAUGUUUACGAAGUCAGAAUGGUCUGAUUACAUGAAGGCAAAGUACAUCUGGAAAUCUCAUUUAUCGGAGGUCCUGAUUUCUAGUUCUUGUUCUUGAAUUUGGAGGACAUUUAUGAGUUGAAGGAUGAACAUGCGUCUCGAGAUGGCUGCUGAGGUGUGGAAAUGCCAAUUUCUUUGAGGAUGUUUGGUGGGAUUAUCAACUGCUGAAGGCUUAGGCCUUUCCUCCUGCCUUAGCGGUUCAUGAUGGGUUGCUAGUUUGUGAGUAUUGGGUCCUGGAAAGUGGAUUUGUUAAAUCAGAUUAUGCCCUAAACCCCUAGUGCAGGAAAUUGACAACUCUGAAAUUGAGGUCCAUGGCAGCAAAGAUGCUUUAGCGCAGAUGCUGAACACUAAUGGUAAAUUUACAUAUAAAUUGGCAUGGAUUUUCCUGGGAGCUAGGUGCCCAAUCUGGCCUUAGUUCUAGUGGGUGUGGAAUGCUGAUUUUCCUUUGAAAAUUUUCUUCUUCUUCUUC